rnacentral:tRNA from 1 species
GAAGAAUUAGUUAAAUAUAUAACAUAAAUAUGUCAAAUUUAAAUUAUUAUAAUAUAAUAUUCUUUU